UACAGAGGUCCCGAGCGUUGUUCGGAUUCACUGGGCGUAAAGGGUGCGUAGGUGGUGAGGUAAGUCGGAUGUGAAAUCUCCGGGCUUAACCCGGAAACUGCAUUGGAAACUACCUUGCUGGAGGGUUUGAGGGGGGACUGGAAUUCCUGGUGUAGCGGUGAAAUGCGCAGAUAUCAGGAGGAACACCGGUGGCGAAGGCGGGUCUCUGGGCCGUAACUGACGCUGAGGAGCGAAAGCGUGGGGAGCGAACCGG
rnacentral:rRNA from 1 species